UCGAUAUCGCCGCAUAUAUUGAGGGUGAUGCCGGUGAUCAGGUAGGGGCAGGGGCGACGAUGCUCGAUGACAGCUCAGACACUGACGGCUUCGAGGACAUCGAGCUGCACACCCCACGGGACACCGAGCUAUCUAUGCCUUCACCCAUUGCAAUGCCAUGGCUGUCCAAGUGCAUGGGCGUCUUUCACAGCAGGCGGCGGUUGAACGGCAGGUGGCGGUUGGCAACAGCGUGUAUCAGAAAAAGCGGGAGGAGUGUUUCGCUUGCUGCGCGGUGUCUCGCCGCCUUGACAUCCGUUGCAUUGGAAACAACGGAAUUGAAAGUGGCAUUGUGACCCACAGCGCAGCUCCACUGGUUCCAACUUCGAUGGACACAGCCAUGAGUUUCCUGACAAUAUUGUGGCAGAUGAAGCUCAGCGAGACAGCAGCAGUCCAGUUCCAGUCCAUGACUCUGCAGGGGCUCAGAGAGAAAGCAGCAACCCACGUCCUUCCCACGACUCUUCGGAAGCUCGGGAUUCAUCACAAACCCAGACAGCCAGCCAUGUUCGUGAGUUUGCUGAGCGCACUGUGGCGGAACUUGGUACCUUCAAUAUGUAAGCCUUGGUACCCAAAGAAAGCAAUCCAUCGUCUCUCGCCUCGUCCAGCCAUUGUGUCGGAGCACGCUCAAGUGGCAUUCAAGGAGUGGGCAUCGCACAUGACUGGUUACGAGAGCACAUCUCUGCAGAAGCAGCUUUUCGCUUCACCUAGCACAGACAUGGGGCCUGGCGACGCCUGAACCUAACUCUUUCGGAGACCAUCCAUGAGGCAGUCACCGUCCAAGUGAAACAAAGAUUAAAUGCGUCGGAAAGGCUGGUAAGGGAGACUGCUUUCAUGGUGCCACCCCAACGAGUGCACAACUCCAUCAAAACAGCUUCCUCUCGAAUCGGCGUCAAGGGCUUUUAAUCCAUACCUGUGCGCCUGACCAACCACUGCGUGUUAUGGGACUAAUGAAAAGCACAAGCUUGAUUGUCCAACAUUUCAUCUAUACCGCACAAUACUGUCACGCACAGAAGUCGUUUCCAUUUAUUUGUCAGCAACGAAAGCUUUCUUAAAGCGAGUAAAAAUACUCAUUUUGGCAAUCUAACAGCACGCACUCUCAAUGAAAAAAAUACUAAAAAUGAAGUAAAUAUAUAUAAUUAUCAA